rnacentral:rRNA from 1 species
UAGGGAAUCUUCCGCAAUGGGCGAAAGCCUGACGGAGCGACGCCGCGUGAGUGAUGAAGGUCUUCGGAUCGUAAAACUCUGUUAUUAGGGAAGAACAAAUGUGUAAGUAACUAUGCACGUCUUGACGGUACCUAAUCAGAAAGCCACGGCUAACUACGUGCCAGCAGCCGCGGUAAUACGUAGGUGGCAAGCGUUAUCCGGAAUUAUUGGGCGUAAAGCGCGCGUAGGCGGUUUUUUAAGUCUGAUGUGAAAGCCCACGGCUCAACCGUGGAGGGUCAUUGGAAACUGGAAAACUUGAGUGCAGAAGAGGAAAGUGGAAUUCCAUGUGUAGCAGUGAAAUGCGCAGAGAUAUGGAGGAACACCAGUGGCGAAGGCGACUUUCUGGUCUGUAACUGACGCUGAUGUGCGAAAGCGUGGGGAUCAAACAGG